rnacentral:rRNA from 1 species
UACGUAGGCAGCAAGCGUUGUUCGGAAUUACUGGGCGUAAAGAGUGUGUAGGCGGUGCUCUAAGUUCGGUGUUAAAUCUCCCGGCUCAACUGGGAGGGUGCGGCGGAAACUGGGGUGCUGGAGCGCGGGAGAGGAAAGCGGAAUUCCUGGUGUAGCGGUGAAAUGCGUAGAUAUCAGGAGGAACACCGGCGGUGUAGACGGCUUUCUGGACCGUAGCUGACGCUGAGACACGAAAGCGUGGGUAGCAAACAGG